rnacentral:piRNA from 1 species
UGCCAAGAAGUCCUAGAGUGCCUGGCGCCA